UUGUAACUCUUUCCCACUUCUUGAGUGCUGAUGUGACGUGGAUCCUCGGCAUCCUGGUUAUGCUUUUGGAGACCCUCCGUGAAGUGUGAUCAGUCGAUAUGUUUUAGAGGUCUGGUGACAGAUUUUCUUUAAUCUCUCCUCCUUACAACCCUUAAAGCAAAUGGCGGCAUCUUUUCCAAAAAGGUGAUCCGGGAAGCGAACCCAUGACCUUGGACGUGUAAUGGAAGAAGCCUAGGUCUGGAAUUUCAGGAGAUCUGAAUUCUAGUCGCGACUCUGCCGCUUCCUUUUUUGUUGUGGAAUAAACCACUUCAUCUCUGUGGGCCUUAGUUUCCCCGUCAUUAAAACCAAGAUGGUGACCUAUUUCUGGUUCUCACCUAGAGGAAAGUACAUCUGAUUAUUAGGAAGAACGCUUCUCUGCCGUGACCCGCCGCACUAGGUUAAUUUGGGUCAGACACAAGUCCUUAAAGGCCUCCGUAUGGCCCAGUAUUUUUAGAAGGAAACGUAAGUUGGAGUUUGGUGCGAUGGUGAAGAUGAGUUCAACUUCAGAACGUUGUGUUGGAAGUGACCACCAGACAUCCGGGUGUCAAAGUCUGUCCGGCAACUGGUGACGUAACAGGUAGAGUAGGAGGUGGUUAAGGAUGUCAGAAGCUGUAGAGAAGUUAGCCCUAUUACCAGGAGAAAAUGAAGGUAAAAACGUCCUCCUGAAUUAAGAGUUCGAGUACAGGUAAAGGAUUUUGAGAUAAAAUAGGGAAGUGAGGCUCUAUUGAGAAUGCUCCUUGUCUGGUUUUUGUGAUACUCAUCAGCUUUCAAGAUUCCUCAGAGGGAAAAGGAUCCUAAUCCAGGCCAGUAACUUGGGAUCUUGACGGAAUCCCUCGCUGAAGACCAGCCUCUAUUAAAUGUAGGGUAAGAGAAGAGAUCUUGAGCUGGGAGGGACAUCGAAGAUCUUCUCGCCCAGCACAGAUUUCUACCCUGGAUCUCCAGGAAUUCUGCAUUCUGCUCUACGGAAGGCUGUCAUCAUAUGAAAUGAUCAUCUUACUAAUGUGGAGGGCACUUCUUAGGAUGGGGAAGGACAGAACAAAAAUGCUUAGAAAAGCAUUGAGUGAAACUCAAGAAAAGUGAGGACAGGAUAGAAGAGUUCUUGCUUCUCACACUGAGUUCAAACCACCAGGCCCAAACAAGGAUGCUAGGAUUCUGAAAGAAUUUUAUGUGACUUUAUGUGAUUUUAUUGGUAAUCACUUUAAAAUCACUUUAUGUGAUUUUAUUGGUAAUCUCUGAAAAAUCGUGGAGAAUAGAUGAGGUUCUGCAAACCUGAGUUUGGGAAUUGUCUUUAUUUUCAAAAAACAUCAAAGGAUGAGUUCUUCAAACUAUAGAUUAGUGAGCUUGACUUUAAUUUUUGGCAAAAUUAUUUUUAAUAUGU